rnacentral:rRNA from 1 species
AUGAGUACUAUGAACCCGAGGAACCACACGAAUCAGACCAAGAAGAAGAGGAGCUCCACUUUGGUGGUUCUUGGGGAUACGGGUAUACCUUCUACUACGAGGACGGGAACCCUUAUUACGUCGCCGACAUGGAGGAGAUGUGGGAGAAUCAGAUGCGGUUUCCGCAGACCAUGUCCAGCGCCAAGAAAUCAAGGGGGGGUCUGGGAGGGGUCUCUUCAGGUUGAGGGCCCGUGUCAGCUCGAUCCAGGUAUGUUAUCUGCGCAAAGCUUGUUGCCUCCAUUGCCCAGAUGGGAAAACCGUUGGGUCGACAAAAGAGAGAACGAACCUUGUCGACGAGCUAUCCAAGUUUUUAGUUUGAAUUUAUCGUCACCUCAUGAUGCCGCGUUAGAGGUGUACGGUAUGAUUGCGUUCUGA